rnacentral:rRNA from 1 species
UACGUAGGGCGCAAGCGUUGUCCGGAAUUAUUGGGCGUAAAGAGCUCGUAGGCGGCUUGUCACGUCGGGUGUGAAAGCCCGGGGCUUAACCCCGGGUCUGCAUUCGAUACGGGCUAGCUAGAGUGUGGUAGGGGAGAUCGGAAUUCCUGGUGUAGCGGUGAAAUGCGUAGAUAUCUGGAGGAACACCGGUGGCGAAGGCGGCAUCCUGGACCAAUAUUGACGCUGAGGAGCGAAAGCCAGGGGAGCAAACGGG